CCUGGCGACGCGGGGCGUCCUUAACGACCGGCGCGGCAGCGCGGGGGGCCUUGCAGGAAGGGCAUCAAGGACCUGCCAGUGUGAGAGACUCCUCGUCACAAGGCCAUCACCAAGGGGCUACCUGCCCCUAGGCUGCCAGUCCACAGCAUGCAGGAAACCCUAGCAACAUCGACACUGUCAGCCCCCCGCCGAUCCUCAAUCUCCACGCAGGAAAUGUUCUCCACUGCAGACCAAACUUCAAGCACAGGCCCCCAGCCCUCAAGGCCCUCAAACAUCCCACCCCCCGGCAAGUCCAAGGGCUGGAAUUCUGGGACCAAAGUACGUCGGAUGCGCAGGAUCAUAGCUGAAGAUCCUGAAUGGUCACUGGCCACCGUGCCCCUCCUCACAGAGCUCUGCAUUCAGCACAUCAUCAAGAACUUCCAGAACAACCCUAUCCUGAAGCAGCUGCUUCCAGAGCACCAGCAGAAGGUGCUGAGCCACCUGUCACCCGAGCUGCCGCUGGCUGUGACGGCCAACCUGAUCGACGACGAGAACUACUGGCGCCGCUGCUGCAUGCACCGCUGGCCCGUGUGCCACGUGGCCAGGCACGGCGGCAGCUGGAAGCGCCUGUUCUUCGAGCGGCACCUGGAGAACCUGAUAAAGCACUUCAUCCCAAGCACCACGGACCCCGCCGUGCUCCUCGACCUGCUGCCGCUCUGCCGGAGCUACGUGCGCCGGCUGCGCGUGGACCAGCUCCUCCCGCCCGUGCAGCUGCCCGGCCCACCCCGGAGCGGGGAGCUGUCCGACUCGGGCAGCGAGGGGGAGACGGAGGAGCCCGCCACCGACCACUACCAACUGCGCGACCUGGUGGCUGGCCUGAGCCACCUGGAGGAGCUCGACCUGGUGUACGGGGUCAAGGACUGCGGCAUGAACUUCGAGGGGAACCUCUUCCUCUUCACCUAUCGGGACUGCCACUCCCUGGCGGCCACCAUCAAGGCAUGCCACACCCUCAAGAUCUUCAGGCUGACCCGAAGCAAGGUGGACGACGACAAGGCACGCAUCCUAAUUCGCAGCCUCCUGAAUCACCCAGCCCUUGAGGAGCUGGACCUGUCACACAACCUCAUCGGGGACCGGGGUGCGCGAGCCGCAGCCAAGCUGCUGAGCCACAGCCACUUGCGUGUGCUCAACCUGGCCAACAACCAGGUGCGGGCGCCUGGUGCCCAGUCUCUGGCUCACGCCCUAGCACACAACACCAACCUCAUUUCCCUCAACCUGCGCCUCAACUGCAUUGAGGAUGAGGGUGGCCAGGCACUUGCCCACGCCUUGCAGACCAACAAGUGCCUCACAACACUGCACCUCGGUGGCAAUGAGCUGUCUGAGCCCACCGCCACGCUCCUCUCCCAGGUGCUCUCGGUCAACACCACGCUCACCAGCAUCAACCUGUCCUGCAACCACAUUGGGCUGGACGGCGGGAAGCAGCUCCUGGAGGGCAUGUCGGACAACAAGACCCUCCUGGAGUUGGACUUGCGCCUGUCCGAUGUGGCCCAGGAGAGCGAGUACCUCAUUGGCCAGGUCCUCUGUGCCAACCGGGAAGCCGCCCGCCAGCGGACCUUGAAUCCUGGCCACUUGAUGUCACCAGUCAUCGCCAAGGGCCCUGAGAAGCCUGCACGAUAAGAGUGCCACGCUGGUCUAGAGGGAGGAGAGCGGGAGAGACCACGGAUAUCCUCGGGGAUGAGGGAAGGCAGAGAAGAUUCUGAGAGCCUCCCCAGACUCUCCCCUGAAGGCCAUCCAUCUCCCUGACCCCGGCCUCCCGACCGUCGUCCUCUCUACUGAACAGGUCCUGGACUUUUUGACCUUCAAAACAUGUGCAUGCCUGCAGGGCACACACGCACCCUCAGUCUCUCUCUCCUCUGGCUACUGCAGAGCUUUGCCCGGCUCUUUCACUCUCACUCCUGCCGAUGCUACCUCGCUAUUACUUGACUCUGCUAAAGGAACGGCCCAUUCUACAGGCCAUUCCAUCCCCUAAUUCUCAUCCUCUGCCCCCCCCAACACACACACACAACCUGGGAAGGGGGAAACAGAGGUGACAGGAGGGACUCAG